rnacentral:rRNA from 1 species
CGGCAACAGCUCAAAUUUGAAAUCUGGCGUCUUCGGCGUCCGAGUUGUAAUUUGCAGAGGGCGCUUUGGCAUUGGCAGCGGUCCAAGUUCCUUGGAACAGGACGUCACAGAGGGUGAGAAUCCCGU